rfam:Rhodopseudomonas palustris CGA009 complete genome.
CUAAGUCGCGUCGGGAGAGAUCGGCCGCAAGGCCGGCGCCGAAGGAGCAACCGCCCCGGAAACUCUCAGGCAAACGGACCGCGCGGCCGAC